GGUAAAAUGGCUGAGCGAAGCAUUAGACUGUAAAUCUAAGGACAGAGGUUUGACCCCUCUUUUUACCA
rnacentral:tRNA from 1 species